AAAGUGAUCACCGCCCUCAUAAAUCCGAUUAUUUUUCUUGAUUGAUUAGCGAAAAAAAAAAAAAAAAAAAAAAAAAAAAAAAAAAAAAAAAAAAAAAAGAAGAAGAAGAAGAAGAAGAAGAAGUUAGUUCUGGAUAAAAGACUAAGGCUCGUGAAUUGGGUUGCCAGAAAAGUCCUCCUUUUGUUCUAUUUGUCGGGUAUUCGUCUUGGUGAGCUAUUAUUAUUAUUGCAGAGCACAAGAAGUGAAAGGUGAGGGAAUCUUCUUCUUCUUCUUCUUUUUCCUUGGGUUUUCUCGGCUACCAAACGCAACAUGAUCAAGAGACGUUUUGAAUUUAAAGUUCUGCUCUUUGUGCAGGAAGGUUUCAUCUUUAAUUCAUUGUUUAUGUUUUAUUGUUUGUUUGGUAAUGUAUUAGGAUGCUCUCUAAUUAAAAAUUAAAAUUGUAUGACUCUGAAAUCUUUGUUUCUCAAUAGUUGAAGUGGGUUAUCGAUGUUGAGCUUAUGUAUCGGGUUAAUUGUGUGAUUGGUUUUUCUGUUUUGAGCUCUGAGAGAUUGCUUUGAUUUAAUGGUUAUCUCAAAUAAGAGCAAAGGGGUUCUCAUAUUAUAGCAUUAAAAUAAAACACUGCCUUUUCCAAUGUUAUGUUUUGAGCGAUCCUUAAGAAACACAGAAAUAUGACUUAUGAGUGUUUUAAUUUUUUGGAUAGAGUUUUAACCUAUGACAUCUGUGAUUCUUGCUCUUUAUCAUUAGACAAAACCACCAAUCGGUUUUUGGUGCAAUCGGGAAUUGAACCUCAAAUCUUUUAUUCAACCAUUAGAUCUCUUAUGAGUGUUAUGUUAGGUGGAUUGGCACCAGGCAGUUUGUACUUAGGAGCAUUCAUAUGAACUUUGGGGCAAAAAACAUGGACUAAUUUAUGGUUUUAUGACGAUGAGUAAUGAUGUUAUUCAUUUGUCCUCUCUCUUUUUUAUUCGAAAGAUUACACACGCAUGAAUUUGAUAAUACUACUUUUUUGAUAAUAACUGAUGGUACACUACUCCUUCAGCUUCAGACUUAUAAGGCAGCAAGUAGGGGGAGUAACUUUCGAUGUGGGAUUGCAAAAGUUUCCCAGGGAGUACAAACAAAAUAGUUUCCCUGGGACAACAAAAAAGUAGCCCACAGUCAGUAUUUUAACUCUUAAUUUACUUGAUAAAUUUUAUAUGUUUCUUGUCAUUGCAUGAAUUCUACUCUAGCAUACUGCUAUUUUUGCAGGUUGUUGUUCCACAACAAUCUAGAUGCUAAUGUUGACUACAAAUACUGUUGCCACCUUGCCUCAGUUACCACUAGUGAAAAUAGAGGGUCAAUGCAUGGGGCAGAAUAUGCAUACUAGAUCUAAUCUUGUGAAACUUUUCAUGUCAUUUCGGUACUUCAAUGGAAAAAGGAGGUCACUUAAGAUUGCUGAACCUGGAUGGCUAGGUAUUGGUGCCCAAUUUUUUACUCUUAAUAAUAGAAGACGUAUCUUGCAUUCUAGCCAUAUACAGUCUGCUUCUGAUAUAUGUCAUUUCGCUUGAAUGCAAGAUGCGCUGCUGAGCAAACUCAAACUUUUACACGCAUGGCUCCAACAAUUACUCACAUUCCCAGUAAUAGCUAUUUCCGUGUAUCGAUCAUUAGUCAAACUACAUUUAAUAUUAAAGGAAUCGCUUUGGCUAGCCAGACCCAGAACUGCCUGCCUUAUGUCAUUGGUGGGUGUGAGUAGCUUGUCUGCAGUGGCAUAGCAAUACCCUGUAUCAUUGGUUGCUCUGAAUUCAUACAGUUGAAAUUUCAAAGUUGUCUCCUUUACUGCUUUUUUAUUUGCUAAAAUGGAGUCUUGGUACUCGUAAUAGGUAUUUUUCUUGGCUCCUUGGUAUAAAUGUUGCUUCAAGGAUCCUUUGUGGGAUUCAUCAAAUGGUAGUUGUAUUGCUCUGUUCAGUUUAAUAAAUGCCAGCUGAGUUCUUUUUGAAGUUGGAUUAGUUUUAGGAACCAAGUCAUAAUUUGGUCUGUCCUUGGUAUCCAACGUCUGUCGCCAAUUGCUUAAUCAAAGCAUUGUAUUUCCUUUUUUGUGUAAUCCUUUUUAUGGGUUUAUGGUAUGGGGUGGUUACAUACAUUUUCAUUUGUUGAUACAUAUAAAUGCAUGUUCACUUGUGCAUUCUUUCUGAAAUUCUGUGAGAUUCGAUAUUUCAAAUGGCAUAUAAUGGUUAAACUGAAAUUUCAAAAGGAUUUCAGUGGCGAUGGUCAUGGUGAUGGUUGUGGUGGAGGUAACUGGUCAAGUGGAUUAAUUAAUUCUUUAAGGAUAAGGAAAGUGAGAUGCCUUAUAGUUACAAGAGGAGAAAAUGAAAGAAUGAUCGAUUUAUAUAUAUAACAAAUUAGAUAACUGGUACUAAUAACGUUCUUUGUACGGAUUGGGGAAUGUCCUCAAUUGUUUUGUUCAGAUCUGGAAACCAGAUACAUCAUCCACAAGAGCCUCUACUACCAGAGACAUAAGACUCUCUUUUCAAGCUAUAGUAUCUAAGAACCUUAGCAUACAAUGUUGUCAAAUUUUGUUCCAUAUUUCUAAUGUGGAAUUUUCCAUUUUUCUUUUGUGGGAGAGAAGAAAUCAUUAUAGGAGUCUGUUUCCUUCCUCGGAACUUUUAAUUUUCAGGUUGCAACAGACAAAAUAUGAAUGAAAAUGUGGAGAAAGGGCCUCCAAAGAUCAACCUAAAGCAGAUGGAUUGGAUGAUAAAGAGAGCAGAAUUUAGUUUGGUUGAUUUAAAGCACUCUCAUUUACUUGUGUCACAAAAUUCACAAGGGAGCUAAGGCAAAGUGUAAGGUGGAAGAACUGUCUUUGCUUGCCGACAACACAUGUGAGGUCCUUCCGUUGUCAACACCAUCAGAAUUCUAGCCUGCCCCGUGGAGGUACCAUUGGUACCAACCUCUCUGCAUCAGUGACUCACUCCAAGCUCAGUUGCUCUCUCUUUCACAUGGGGAUUAAACCAAUGGCACAGUUGUUUUAUAUUCAUAAUUCUCCUAUUUUUUACUAUGAGAAUGUACUCACAUGUGAAUUUCUUUCAUCUUCUAAUCAAUUGAUAUUCUCAUCAAUU